GGGGAUGUAGCUCAGUGGCAGAGCACCUGCCUGCCAAGCACGAG
rnacentral:tRNA from 1 species